rnacentral:rRNA from 1 species
UACAGAGGGUGCAAGCGUUAAUCGGAAUUACUGGGCGUAAAGCGCGCGUAGGCGGCCCGUUAAGUGGCUGGUGAAAUCCCGCGGCUCAACUGCGGGGCUGCCGGUCAGACUGGCGAGCUAGAGCACGGUAGGGGCAGAUGGAAUUCCCGGUGUAGCGGUGGAAUGCGUAGAGAUCGGGAAGAAUACCAGUGGCAAAGGCGUUCUGCUGGGCCGUUGCUGACGCUGAGGCGCGACAGCGUGGGGAGCAAACAGG